rnacentral:misc_RNA from 1 species
GCAAACUUGGUCAUUUAGAGGAAGUAAAAGUCGUAACAAGGUUUCCGUAGGUGAACCUGCGGAAGGAUCAUUCACAAUAAGUGUUUUAUGGCACUUUAAUUCCAUAUCCACCUUGUGUGCAACGUAGUUCGUUUUUCCUUCUCUGUUUGAAGGAACUCGAACAAAACAUCAACAUUUUAAUUAUCAACAGAUCGUCUGAAGUAUUAUAUGAAUAAAUCAAUUCAAAAUACAACUUUCAACAACGGAUCUCUUGGCUCUCGCAUCGAUGAAGAACGCAGC